rnacentral:rRNA from 1 species
GAUGAACGCUGGCGGCGUGCCUAAUACAUGCAAGUCGAGCGAAGCGGGGACGGGUGAGUAACACGUGGAUAACCUCCUAUAAGACUGGGAUAACUUCGGGAAACCGGAGCUAAACCGGAUAUUUAUAGAUGGAUUUGCUGUGCUUUAGCUGGUUGGUAAGGUAAGGGCCUACCAAGGCAACGAUGCAUAGCAGACCUGAGAGGGGGGUCGGCCACACUGGAUCUGGGACACGGUCCGAAUUCCUCCGGGGGGCAGCAGUAGGGAAUCUUGCGCAAUGGGCGAAAGCCUGACGGAGCAACGCCGCGUGAGUGAUGAAGGUCUUCGGAUCGUAAGACUCUGUUAUUGAGGAAGCGGUACCUAAUCAGAAAGCCACGGCUAACUACGUGCCAGCCGCCGCGGUAAUAC